AUUGAACGCUGGCGGCAUGCCUUACACAUGCAAGUCGAACGGUAACAGGUUAAGCUGACGAGUGGCGAACGGGUGAGUAAUGUAUCGGAACGUGCCCAGUCGUGGGGGAUAACUGCUCGAAAGAGCAGCUAAUACCGCAUACGACCUGAGGGGGAAAGCGGGGGAUCGCAAGACCUCGCGCGAUUGGAGCGGCCGAUAUCAGAUUAGGUAGUUUGUGAGGUAAAGGCUCACCAAGACGACGAUCUGUAGCUGGUCUGAGAGGGCGACCAGCCACACUGGGACUGAGACACGGCCCAGACUCCUACGGGAGGCAGCAGUGGGGAAUUUUGGACAAUGGGCGCAAGCCUGAUCCAGCCAUGCCGCGUGCGGGAAGAAGGCGUUCGGGUUGUAAACCGCUUUUGUCAGGGAAGAAAAGGUUCUGGCUAAUACCUGGGACUCAUGACGGUACCUGAAGAAUAAGCACCGGCUAACUACGUG
rnacentral:rRNA from 1 species